rnacentral:misc_RNA from 1 species
UCCGGUUUAACACCGGCAGUCUCCGUAGAGUGCCCAACUAAAUGAUGGCAACUAGGGAUAGGGGUUGCGCUCGUUAAGGGACUUAACCCGACAUCUCACGAUACGAGCUGACGACAGCCAUGCAGCACCUGUCUCCCGGCCCCUUUCGGGGAAGCCCUAUCUCUAGGGUUGUCCGAGGAUGUCAAGUCCAGGUAAGGUUCCUCGCGUUGCAUCGAAUUAAACCACAUGCUCCACCGCUUGUGCGGGCCCCCGUCAAUUCCUUUGAGUUUUAAUCUUGCGACCGUACUUCCCAGGCGGGGUACUUAAUGCGUUAGCGUCGACACUGCAGGGGUCAAUUCCUACAACAUCUAGUACCCAUCGUUUACGGCGUGGACUAC